rnacentral:tRNA from 1 species
GCCUGAUUGGCUCAGUCGGUUAAGCGUCUGACUUUGGCUCAGGUCGUGAUCUCAUGGUUCAUGGGUUCGAGCCCCACAUUGAGCC